rnacentral:rRNA from 1 species
AACGAACGCUGGCGGCAUGCCUAACACAUGCAAGUCGAACGAGACCUUCGGGUCUAGUGGCGCACGGGUGCGUAACGCGUGGGAACCUGCCCUUAGGUUCGGAAUAACUCCCCGAAAGGGGUGCUAAUACCGGAUAAUGUCUUCGGACCAAAGAUUUAUCGCCUUUGGAUGGGCCCGCGUUGGAUUAGCUAGUUGGUAGGGUAAAAGCCUACCAAGGCGACGAUCCAUAGCUGGUCUGAGAGGAUGAUCAGCCACACUGGGACUGAGACGCGGCCCAGACUCCUACGGGAGGCAGCAGUGGGGAAUAUUGGACAGUGGGCGAAAGCCUGAUCCAGCAAUGCCGCGUGAGUGAUGAAGGCCUUAGGGUUGUAAAGCUCUUUUAACCGGGAUGAUAAUGACAGUACCGGGAGAAUAAGCUACGGCUAACUCCGUG